CUGGAUCCCUGAUUGGCUCAUUCGACCAUAUGUCCAGUCAACAGCCAAAGCUUCCCAGCCUGCCUCUCCACCCAUGCCCAGCACCUCUUUGCUGCACUUCUUUUUUAUUUCUUAAAUUUUUUUCAUUAAUUCUAAAAGAUAUAGAAGACCAUCAGGGUUCUGGUGAGAUACACUGUGGACAAUCUGUGGAAGGAUCUGGGCAGGGAUCACUGAUUUAGUCAGAUGAAAUUAACAAGUACUUAUUAAAUGAUUUCUUCAUGCCAGGACCCUUGUGAAAGGAAAUAGGACUGCUUCUGAUUAUGUGGAUAUCUGAAUAACCAUAAGGAUCCCAAGGAAUGAUACGACUUUGAAAUCUUAAAAAAUGGUGGGCACAUUUUUUCAAGAUGAGAUUUCACAGGCUAGGUCCGUAAUGCAUGUCAUAAUCAAAGUACUUUCUUGAAAAAAAUACAGGGGCAGAAAAUAUGAAGGAUCUACUUAGAAUCUUUUUAACAAAUUACACAAUCCUCUCCUAGCACUUGAACUAAUUUUAGGUAUCUUUCAUGUAUAUAAAAUUAUUCUAACAAUUUCACAAAGGUUUUACUCAUAAGAAUUCUUUUGACUUUAGCUUUAAAAACAAACCCACUAUUUUUUAAUUAGAAUGAUAACAAAAUCAGUUUAAAUCAGUGAAUUUCAAAUAUUUUGGCAAUGUUAUAGUAAAAGAAACCAACAACUCAAUAAUUGUUUUCAAGGUCAAUGAAGGAAGUUGACAUUUUUCAAAUCUCAUGAAAAAUCAAAAUAAAUGGACAUAUUCCUGCUUUUUAUCA
rnacentral:lncRNA from 1 species